rnacentral:rRNA from 1 species
UACGGAGGGUGCAAACGUUGCUCGGAAUCAUUGGGCGUAAAGCGCACGUAGGCGGCCUGUUAAGUCGGAUGUGAAAGCCCCGGGCUCAACCCGGGAAGUGCAUUCGAAACUGGCAGGCUUGAAUAUGGAAGAGGGUCGCGGAAUUCCCGGUGUAGAGGUGAAAUUCGUAGAUAUUCGCAAGAACACCAGUGGCGAAGGCGGCUCACUGGCCCGGUACUGACGCUGAGGUGCGAAAGCGUGGGGAGCAAACAGG